AGUGGCGAACGGGUGAGUAACACGUGGGCAACCUGCCCAAAAGAGGGGGAUAACACUUGGAAACGGGUGCUAAUACCGCAUAACCAUAGUUACCGCAUGGUAACUAUGUAAAAGGUGGCUAUGCUACCGCUUUUGGAUGGGCCCGCGGCGCAUUAGCUAGUUGGUGGGGUAAAGGCUUACCAAGGCAAUGAUGCGUAGCCGAACUGAGAGGUUGAUCGGCCACAUGGGACUGAGACACGGCCCAAACUCCUACGGAAGGCAGCAG
rnacentral:rRNA from 1 species